rnacentral:rRNA from 1 species
GAGCACGUAGGUGGGUUUGUAAGUCAGAUGUGAAAGCCUUCUGUUCAACGGAAGAAUUGCAUUUGAAACUACAAACCUUGAGUGUAGGAGGGGAGAAUGGAACUUCUGGUGGAGCGGUGAAAUGCGUAGAUAUCAGAAGGAAUGCCGGCGGCGAAAGCGAUUCUCUGGCCUAUAACUGACACUGAGUGUGCGAAAGCUAGGGGAGCAAACGGGAUUAGAUACCCCGGUAGUCCUAGCCGUAAACGAUGGGCACUAAGUAGAGGGGUUU